AAGUCUUUUGGAAAUGAUGCUAUUGAAUGUACUUUUGUCUCUCGCUAGAUAUGGAUAACAGGAAGGAUGAAAAAAGUAGGACACUGUGUGCAACUUCACAAGAAGGGCUGAAAGUCCGAGAAAAAGAAAAAAGGAAACGAAAACGCAGUAGAAGCAGAUCAUCGUCCAUUUCAUCCACAUCGUCUUCUAGCACUACAUCCACUUCUUCUUCCUCAUCACGCUCAUCAUCAAGGUCGUCUUCUUCAAGUAGCAGAGAUUCUCCUAAGUCUAAA